UGGUACUCAGAACUUAGCCUGCAAAG
rnacentral:piRNA from 1 species